rnacentral:siRNA from 1 species
AUGACAUGAUGUUGAUGUGCAU